GUGCUUUAUCCAUCACUAUGGCCCUUGUGCCUCAAUGACCUGAACGGCCCGGCACAGAGUGGAGGUUUGUUUUAAAACAGGUAAGAGUGAUCAUCGGUAUUGGAAGUUAGCCCUUUGUGAGGUGAUGCAGCGGAGAGACUUCUGGAAUUCUGGGACUAUUGUCUUCUUUGAACAGAACACACUACAGGAAAAUGAAACCCCCCAAAAAGGACUUUAAAUGAUAGUCUAUGAAAGAACCUCCUCGAUGUCAUUUACUGACGAAUUCCUCCAGCAGAGUGAACAACCCUCCACCCAGGACAACACCGUCCUGCCUGCCAGGCCUGGGUAGUGGCACCCAGAGGGUUUCUCUGGGUAGCUCUGGCUGUCCUGGAACUUUCUGCAGACCAGGCUGGCCUUGAACUCAGAGCUCUACCCGACUUUGCCUCCUGAGUGCUGGGAUGAAAGACAUGCACCAUCACCUCCUUGGAAGUCUGUUACUUUUAAAUUUUUCUCUGGUAAGUUUUUAGGACAAGGGCAGAAAGCAGUCACAUUAUUUGCCAAAAUACCACUCAAGCAAGCUCUCUGGCUCUGUUGCUAACACUGUUUCCCUCUGGUGCCUUUUGAACCUCCACAGUCUGUAAAUCUCUCAGCACCGCUGUCUUCCUGCUUCCAUCUCCGAGGGCUCAGUACGUCCUGCUGACAGCAUUCAGCAGAUUUUCUAGUUCAAAGUUGCAAAGUCUUCCACAUUCUUCCAAAAAUCAGCAUCGUCAGGUCUGGCCCAGUACUAGCCGACGCCCUGCACCAACUUCUUAGUUACUUUCCCCACUGCAGUGACAAAACACGAUGGUCAGAGCAGCUCACAGAAGGAUGGACUUAUGUGGGGCUGAUAAUUCCAGAGGGUUUGAGAGUAUUCCAUGAGAUGAGCUGUGGUGGCGCACACCUUUAAUCCCAGCACUUGGGAGGCAGAGGCAGGUGGAUCUCUGUGAGUUUGAGGCCAGCCUGGUCUACAGAGUGAGUUCCAGGACAACCAGAGCUGUUACACGAGAAACUCUGUCUCAAAAAACCAAGCAAGGCCAAACCAAACCAAAAGCAAAACCAAAACCGAAAGAAAAUCCCUCAAAACAAGAGUCCAUUAUGACAGCAAGUCUCGGGAGUUGUGGCUGGAACAGAAGCUGAGAACUCACACCUUGAACUACAGGAAAUAAUAAAAAGUACCCGACUCAUAAACUGGAUCUGAGGGCUAAUGAAAUACUACAGCCCAAGUACCUGCCGUCGAGGAAAUGCUAAAUAAGUAAACGAGAGAAUCCAGGAGUCUCCAAAGCUUAUGAAGAGUUCCAUGACUUCCAAAUAACCAGAAAAACAUUUAAGAAAAUAAAUUCACAGCCGCUGGACUGGGUGCCAAUGACACCAAGUGCGGGCUGGAAUGUGGUGGCAUAAAAGUCUUGCACAUUGCUUCAGGGAGCAUCCUCGUGAGUAGAGGAAGAAGGAACCAUGGGAUUAGGAUUGUACCUGUGAGACGGUUUCCACCUCGCAUGAGCCUGGGAAGGGAUAUGGCCUGGCUUCGGCAGCAGAGGCUCAUGUUGGUGUUGAUUCAAGGGUGGGAACACCCAAGUGCCAUCCUGGAGUAUAAAAGGGGAAGAUGUGGCUGCCUACCAUGCUUGCAACAGUUGGAGGCAGGAGAUUGUAUAGAACUGUGGCAAUAGGUCUGGAUCUUUGAAACAGUGCUCAGACUCAAAGGGAAGAAAAAUAAGAAGGAGAUAUACCACGUGGCAUUGUUUAUAUCAAUCAAAAAUUCGAUUUUUUUCCAAAACUACACACAAAAAGGAUGCAUGUCAAACCUAUUGGAUAGCCGUGGAUGGAGGAUAGGGCUGAGGUUUGAGGACUGAAGGGAAAAUUUCAAAGCUCCAUCAGACUUAGUAGCCUUUUUCACCCAUGACCCCAUCCUCACUAUCCUUCUUCCUUGAGCUUGACCGUGCCUGGCUGCCAUCAGUUAGAAUGUACGAGUAACUGGGAAGCGUGGAGACCCGGAGAGCUUGAGGGGACCACACCCUAUUAGUCAUGGCAUCUGGAUGCUGCUCAGCAAAAGUCUUUUGAAUGAACUGAAGAAAUUCUUGUUCUUCCAUCUCCAGAAAAUGUCUCUACUUCCCUGAUCUUGGAUUCCUACAGCUGUCAAGACAGAGAUGAUAAUUGCAAUUCUUUUCCAGGGUCAUUGAGGAUGAGCUGGUACAACAGGCGUCUGGUUCAGUAGAGAAAGGACAGAACAGAAGAAGGCAGUAGCUCAAGUCCCAGCCAGGGCUGCUUGUGUUAGUUGCAGUCUUUGAAUAGUGGACCAGUUACUUCAUGUCUAAUUUCCAUCUGUAAAAUGACCCUAUGCUAACGGUGUAGAACCGAGGGUUAACGACAGCGCCCAUAGAGCACUUGCUAUCUAAUAGUGGAUGCUCAGGAAGCGGGAUAUCUCUAUCUCCAUUCCCUAAAUUAUUUGAUGAACAUUGGUGACUACUAUUGCAGUCUGAAUGUCUUGGCUCCCCUUCCCCAGACUCAUACACUGGAAUCCUAACCCCCUAAGGCCAUGCUGUUGGGAGGGAGGUGAUGACAUCAUGAGGUGGUUCCCUCAUGCCCUGAUUGAUGCUCACCUAGAAGAGGCCCCAGGGAACCACUAUGUGUCUUUCGUUAUGUUAAGACACGGAUAAAAUGCCCCUCUAGGAAGCAGAGGGUGCACCCAUACCAGAUACCAAAUCGGCUGGUGCCUUGACCUUGAACUUUCCGGUACACAAGGACUACGAGAAAUAAAUCAUAGUGGCGUCUAAGCCACCAAGCUACAGAACUUUGUCCUAGCAUUUCAGAACAACUACGACAAGGGUUGGUGUUGUGCCCGACAGAGGAAGAGGACUGAAGAUCUAUGUUAUUUAUGGCUGUCAAACAAUUUGCUCCUGAAUUCCGCAGUCAACACAGCAACCUGAUCAUCUCAGCGUUCCUGUGGGUCAAGAUCCAGGCGCCGAUUUGAGAAGGCAGCUCCCGAGGCAUGGCCUGGGGCUGUAUUCAUGGUAUGGUUUGGAUUGGAAAAGGAGAUGGAGGCCACCCCAGUGGCAUCUCCUCUUUGCCUUGGGGGCCUAUUGUGCUUCAGUUCCUCCUGUGGCAGCUGUCUCCCUUCGGAGCCAGAACACAUGCCCGGUCCUGGUGACACGAUGUCAGAAAGGGACAUCAGCCCUGCUUCAUUUUAUUCGCUCGAAAUGAGUCACUAAAUCCAGUCCUGGCCAAGGGACAAGAAAUGACACAUGGACAUGGGGGAGUCAGCAGGGAGGUCAGAUGGAUCAAGUCCGUCCUCGUAGGGGUUCUCAUUUUCAGGUGCGGUAAAGUUUCCUAGGACUGGAGGCAGCUGAGGAAUGCAUUCUUGCAUACAGCAGAGCCACUGGGCUUCAUGGUGGGAGCAACAUCCAUCUGUGCUUUCUAUAAGGACGACACAUUGAGUAACUCGGAACUAUUUAUUUAUCCAUAGAGCGACGUGGGCCGAGCCAUCCUGGCUAAUUAGACCCUCGGGCUGCUCAUGCUUGGGCUGUUUCAACUUUCUGGGAAAAGGCCUUUCUUUAUGUGGAUGUGUGUGUCUAUAUUAGUCCAUGUAAAGCCUGUGUGUGCGUGUGUGCAUGUGUGUGCAUGUGUGCCUGUGUGCAAGUGUGUGUGUGCAUGUGUACAUGUGUGUAUGUGUGUGUACCUGUGUGCAUGUGUGCAUGUGUGUGUACCUAUGUGCCUGUGUGCGUGUGUGUUUACCUGUGUGUAUGUGUGCAUGUAUACAUGUGUGCAUGUGUGUAUGCCUGUGUGCAUGUGUGCAUGUGUACCUGUGUGCAUGUGUGUGUGUGUGUGUGUGUUUCUAUCUUCUCUGCCUCUUGGAUCCUGCCCCUCCCUGGGCCUACAGACCCCUGACUUCACCUUUCCUCUGUCCCCCAUGCCCUUUGUCGGGAGGUCAUGUGUGAGGAAACAAGCCCCACAUGGUUCUAAUCAUUUUGCUUUAAAAGCUGAGCUGCUCUCUGCUUUGAUCCGGGUUGAGCUGCUGGAGGAAGGGCUGGGGGCCAGGCUGGCCUGUCCAUGGAGC